UAUUGUUGAUUUCAGUGUUCUGCC
rnacentral:piRNA from 1 species